rnacentral:rRNA from 1 species
UGGGGAAUAUUGCACAAUGGGCGCAAGCCUGAUGCAGCCAUGCCGCGUGUAUGAAGAAGGCCUUCGGGUUGUAAAGUACUUUCAGCGGGGAGGAAGGCGAUAAGGUUAAUAACCUUGUCGAUUGACGUUACCCGCAGAAGAAGCACCGGCUAACUCCGUGCCAGCAGCCGCGGUAAUACGGAGGGUGCAAGCGUUAAUCGGAAUUACUGGGCGUAAAGCGCACGCAGGCGGUCUGUCAAGUGGGAUGUGAAAUCCCCGGGCUCAACCUGGGAACUGCAUUCGAAACUGGCAGGCUAGAGUCUUGUAGAGGGGGGUAGAAUUCCAGGUGUAGCGGUGAAAUGCGUAGAGAUCUGGAGGAAUACCGGUGGCGAAGGCGGCCCCCUGGACAAAGACUGACGCUCAGGUGCGAAAGCGUGGGGAGCAAACA